AAUCUCAUUAGGCCCCAUAACAUAGCUAUUGGGUUGCCAAAACGCAAAUAAACCCCUCCACUUUCACUUUAAUACACUGCCCGAACUGGGCAGUUCGCGCAGGCGGGGACCGGUCUCUCCUUCAGGGACCGGUUCCCGAACGUCGUCCCAGCGCAGCCAGAGCUGCUGCGCGCAGUGCAACCGGUCUCUCCUUGGGGGACCGGUCUCUCGGGGACCGGUCUCUCAGUCAGGGACCGGUUCCCGAGAGCUAACUUCUCAGGACUUAGCCGAUUUUUCGGCUGUCUCAUUUCAUACGCGUUCGGGGACCGGUCUCUCCCACCAGGGACCGGUCCCCGAGAGCUCAAAAUCUGUAGUUUUGCAGAAUUUGAUUCUAUAGCUCUCGAAAACCUCCCGCAACUCGCUUUUAACCAUUUUAAUACCUUCGGACUUUCCGAAGUGUACUGUCCUCGCACUUUGGUCAAUUUGACUAAAGUUCGACAUUUAUUUUCCGAAUUUUCAGUAUAUUACAGCCGAGUUCCGUCGAAACGAGCGGAGCGCGGAGUGGAAUGAGUGGGUAUAGGCCCUAAGUGCAUUCGAGCCUAUAUAUGGUGCAAAGGGACCCGAGAGAGUGAAAUUCCAAAAUCUGGCUAAGUCCCAGAUUUUGUGCUCUCGGGGACCGGUCCCUGAAGGAGAGACCGGUCCCCGUGCGCGUAGCCUGCCAGGAAUCCUGAGGCAACCGGUCCCUGGCAGUGAGACCGGUCCUCGGGAGACCGGUCCCUGAAGGAAAGACCGGUCCCUCGCUGCGCAGCCAGCCAAAAACCUGAAAAUUUGGCUAAGUCCUGGAAACCCAACGUUCGGGAACCGGUCCCUAGUCGGGGAGACCGGUCCCCGA
rnacentral:lncRNA from 1 species